UCAAAACAAGAUAAACCUAGCUUAGGGGGCUACAGUAUAUGUACUAGGGUAUAUACAGUAUAUAGUCGCAAUGUACAGUCGUCCGGUAAGUACCAGGGGGACACAACUAAACUAAUUGUCAUAAACUCAUCUAAAAACAACUCUUUGUCUAUGGAACUAAGAUCAAGUCAGCCGUUUUAUGUAUAAAAAAAUGUUUUUGACUUUGAUAAAACAUUUCAAAAUGCCGCGUGAGGGUACUGGAAGACCAAUUCCUCCAAAUCUCCAAGAGGCCAGCAACACACUUGUAACUCCUCUAGUGUCGCGGGUGUUUAUCGUUCUUAGUACCUAUGUCCCAUAAAGAAAAUAAUUGAAUUAUUUUUGUCAAAUGCAUCAUUCGUUUAAUGGCUCCGAUGGAUCACCUGAUGGUAAGCAAUCGCCAUACAUGGACACUCGCAGCACUAGAGGACUCACAAUUGCGUCGCUUACUUUAAAAGGAGUAUAUAGUAUUUCUCGAGACUUGCAUUUGUUCAAAUAAUUUCAUUUCAAAGGUAUCAGUAGUUCCAUAGACAAACAGCGAGUGUGGAUAUAAACGGAUCUAAAGUAAUAAAGCUAGGAAUAUGUCACACGUGUCGUACAACGCAGCGUUUGUAAUCUGGCUGUCUGUCUGUUUGUCUGUCUGUACUCGCGACAUUUCAGUCGAUUCACUAAAAUAUUUGGUUCUUUUAAUCUAUAAGUGUACCAUACCAUCCAUAGUCGAGAACAGUGUAUAAACAUCAUAAUAUCAUUUAUAUUCGAUAAAUCGAACAUAUCACUAUUCGAUUAAGUACUGUGAUAUUAUUUAUAUCGCACUUCCAAGAGAGUAAGUUCUAAGUUCGACUUCUAUGUUUGUCAGCAAUUACCUCGUGAUUAGCUGAACCGAUUUUGGACUGAUGUUCACAUGAGUUUAGUGAAUCGAAUGAGAUAUCGGCGUGUAGUAUGUUCUAUGCACGAGUAGUAUGAUGCUAGCAGUGGAACUGUUGCUGCGUGAUGGCGGAGAGGUCCUUCAUGAGUCCUCCAGUGUAUGUCGGAGUAGUGGGUGCUAGCAGUGGAACUGUUGCUGCGUGAUGGCGGAGAGGUCCUUCAUGAGUCCUCCAGUGUAUGUCGGAGUAGUGGGUGCUAGCAGUGGAACUGUUGCUGCGUGAUGGCGGAGAGGUCCUUCAUGAGUCCUCCAGUGUAUGUCGGAGUAGUGGGUGCUAGCAGUGGAACUGUUGCUGCGUGAUGGCGGAGAGGUCCUUCAUGAGUCCUCCAGUGUAUGUCGGAGUAGUGGGUGCUAGCAGUGGAACUGUUGCUGCGUGAUGGCGGAGAGGUCCUUCAUGAGUCCUCCAGUGUAUGUCGGAGUAGUGGGUGCUAGCAGUGGAACUGUUGCUGCGUGAUGGCGGAGAGGUCCUUCAUGAGUCCUCCAGUGUAUGUCGGAGUAGUGGGUGCUAGCAGUGGAACUGUUGCUGCGUGAUGGCGGAGAGGUCCUUCAUGAGUCCUCCAGUGUAUGUCGGAGUAGUGGGUGCUAGCAGUGGAACUGUUGCUGCGUGAUGGCGGAGAGGUCCUUCAUGAGUCCUCCAGUGUAUGUCGGAGUAGUGGGUGCUAGCAGUGGAACUGUUGCUGCGUGAUGGCG